GACGAACGCUGGCGGCGUGCUUAACACAUGCAAGUCGAACGGAAAGGCCCUGCUUUUGUGGGGUGCUCGAGUGGCGAACGGGUGAGUAACACGUGAGUAACCUGCCCUUGACUUUGGGAUAACUUCAGGAAACUGGGGCUAAUACCGGAUAGGAGCUCCUGCUGCAUGGUGGGGGUUGGAAAGUUUCGGCGGUUGGGGAUGGACUCGCGGCUUAUCAGCUUGUUGGUGGGGUAGUGGCUUACCAAGGCUUUGACGGGUGGCCGGCCUGGGAGGGUGACCGGCCACCUUGGGCCUGAGAUACGGCCCAGACUCCUACGGGAGGCAGCAGUGGGGAAUAUUGCACAAUGGGCGGAAGCCUGAUGCAGCAACGCCGCGUGCGGGAUGACGGCCUUCGGGUUGUAAACCGCUUUCGCCUGUGACGAAGCGUGAGUGACGGUAAUGGGUAAAGAAGCACCGGCUAACUACGUG
rnacentral:rRNA from 1 species